CUGGCUGUAUUCUUCAGAACUAUUCCCCACUGUCAUCAGGAACUCGGCCCUGGCAGCUGCUAACAUAUUUGGCAGGGUUGGGGGAACUAUAUCGACUUACAUAGCUAAUCUGGCUCUAGUGAUAUCAGGAGACUUUGGUGUGGCUGUUCCUCUUCUUAUGUUCGGUACGUCCAUGGUACUGGCAGGAUUGGCAACUCUGGCGUUGCCUGAAACUUUGGAAUGUUCCACUCCCGGACACCAUUGAAGAUGCUAAGCAGAUGAAAAGAUGCAUAAAGAACCGACAUCCAGAAAAUUCACGGAGUAUCUACCCAUUCUGAAAGAAAGAGAAGAAAUGUUCGCGAAUGGUCUUUCUUUCUCUGGUUUUAUGCUUCAUUUCAAUUACCAUGUUGUAACAGAUAAUAAAACAUAUUUAUCAUGUGA